CACGUAGGGGGCGAGCGUUGUCCGGAUUUAUUGGGCGUAAAGAGCUCGUAGGCGGUUUCGUAAGUCGGAUGUGAAAACUCCAGGCUCAACUUGGAGACGCCAUUCGAUACUGCGAUGACUUGAGUCCGGUAGGGGAGUGUGGAAUUCCUGGUGUAGCGGUGGAAUGCGCAGAGUAUCAGGAGGAACACCGGUGGCGAAGGCGGGUCUCUGGGCAGUAACUGACGCUGAGGAGCGAAAGCGUGGGGAGCGAACAGG
rnacentral:rRNA from 1 species